GCCGGUGUGUUGGAAUUGGCAGACGAGACGGACUCAAAAUCCGUUGGCGGCAACGUCGUGUGGGUUCAAGUCCCACCACCGGCACCA
rnacentral:tRNA from 1 species